UCCAACAACUGAGGCAACAACACCCGCUCCAACAACCGAAGCAACAACGACACCUGCCCCAACAACUGAGGCAACAACACCUGCCCCGACAACAACUGAGGAAACAACGACACCUGCCCCGACAACCGAAACGACACCUGUCCCGACAACCGAAACAACAACAACACCUGCCCCGACAACUGAGGCAACAACGACACCUGCUCCAACAACUGAAGCAACAACGACACCUGCUCCAACAACCAAAGCAACGACACCUGCCCUGACAACGACAACUGCUGCACCAAACACGACUUUGACUGUUCAACCUAUUUACUAUGUCUUAAUAAUUUUGGAAGUUUCUUUUUCAAUUGACCUCAAUAACCCCAACAGCAGUCUAUACAAAGAUCUUGAGCAUCGAGUUGUAGCUACGUGUGAGUUCAUAUACAGACCAAGAUUUGUUCAGUUUGACCACUGUUCUAUGACAAUGUUCAGGAGUGUCCAAAUUCCAGCCAAUGGAACUGAAGCAGAGCUGCAGAUUGUGUUCAAUCAGAAAACUCGCUCUGCAGAACUCCCACAGAACAGUGUCGUUGCUCAAACCUUAGUAGAGGCUGUGAGUAAUACCAACAACAGCUUCAAUGUGACCAUAAAUCCCAAGAAAGUCAAAAUAAUAGCAGGUCCAGUUCCAUCUACGACUACCACAUCUACAAAUGCUGCACCAAUCAACGUGAAUGGCACCCAAUCAAGUGGAGUGAGCCACAAGAUCAGUCUCGUUACUGCAUCCUGCCUGGUAUUGUUGUCAUGGAUACUAUCAAGCCAGCAAUAGCAUCAGUGCUGAUUACCAUUUGAAUUGCCAGCAGACUAUGACUGCCAUUACUGGUAUGAACAAGGACUUUGUUGUCGGUAAAAAUCCAAGAUUCAUGAUGGUCUUUGCUCUUGUAUGUAGAAUGACACAGCCAACUUUAAGCACCUGGCCCAUUGAAUCAUCACUACAAUAACAACCUAAACAAAAUAACAAUACUGUCUGUUAAGCCCUGGGAUGUCAGAAAUGGUUGCACUCUUUGACUUUUUAUUUAAAAUGUAAUGUAUAAAUGCAUCUUGCUUCUCUGAGCACUGUGCUAUAGCAAUAUUUAACUUUCAGUACUAAUUCUGUUCUUAGGUCAUGUUAAACAAGUAAAAUCAGCCACACUGGAAAGUAAAAUCACCUUCACCAUUGUCUGAAUGUAUUUUAUUUUGAAACGUGCCGAUUGAGAAAUUCAAAUGUGAGAUGUCUGUGAAGUUAGUUGUCAUCAACACAGGUCAUUUUACAAGCAAAGAUGAUUCAAAAUGGUGUUUUACUCAGACCUUCAAAUUAUCUAAACCUUUCUGUAACUUUCAAAAGCAUGUGAAAUUUAUGUUUAGGUUUCAUUUAGUGUACAUAUUGUAUUUAUGUAAUCACGUAUACCUAUAUUCUGUGAGACUAUUGUGGUUUGUAUAAUUUCUAUCAGAAACUUUACAAUGAUCAGAAUGCAAAUUAUUUUGUGAAUUUAAAUUGACUCUAGUGUGAUGUUUUUCAUGAGUAAACAGAAAAUGUAUCAGGGCAUGUUUAACCUUGUACAACUCUUAUAAAAUUGAAACACCUA